rnacentral:rRNA from 1 species
GUAUAAGAGACAGCAGUAGCCGCGGGAAUACGAAGGGUGCAAGCGUUACUCGGAAUUACUGGGCGUAAAGCGUGCGUAGGUGGUGGUUUAAGUCCGUUGUGAAAGCCCUGGGCUCAACCUGGGAAUUGCAGUGGAUACUGGGUCACUAGAGUGUGGUAGAGGAUAGUGGAAUUUCCGGUGUAGCAGUGAAAUGCGUAGAGAUCGGAAGGAACAUCUGUGGCGAAGGCGACUAUCUGGGCCAACACUGACACUGAGGCACGAAAGCGUGGGGAGCAAACAGGAUUAGAUACCCGGGUAGUCCCUGUCUCUUAUAC